UCUUGACCAAGCUAUGUGAGCCUUAUAAAACCUUAGACUAUUUGGGAGCUACUAAGAAGACGGAGUCCAACAGAUGUAAGUUUGGAUUAGCUGGUGACCUAAUAGUUGCUUUUUGUUAUCACAGUGUUGAACAUUCUUGUACCCGUCUCUAACUUCAAUGACACAAAGAAGCUGUAGACUGCCAAGUAAAUACUCAAGCAAUAAAAAACAACUCUGACAAGUUUAAGCAAAAGAGAGAGCAUGGCAUCCAUGGAAGAAUCUCAGAUCCUCGGUAUAGACAUCUUAUGACGGACAGUGAAGACUGACUUCCCGCAGA